GGAAUUUUGGACAAUGGGCGAAAGCCUGAUCCAGCAAUGCCGCGUGCAGGAUGAAGGCCUUCGGGUUGUAAACUGCUUUUGUACGGAACGAAACGGUCCUUUCUAAUACAGAGGGCUAAUGACGGUACCGUAAGAAUAAGCACCGGCUAACUACGUGCCAGCAGCCGCGGUAAUACGUAGGGUGCAAGCGUUAAUCGGAAUUACUGGGCGUAAAGCGUGCGCAGGCGGUUAUGUAAGACAGUUGUGAAAUCCCCGGGCUCAACCUGGGAAUUGCAUCUGUGACUGCAUAGCUAGAGUACGGUAGAGGGGGAUGGAAUUCCGCGUGUAGCAGUGAAAUGCGUAGAUAUGCGGAGGAACACCGAUGGCGAAGGCAAUCCCCUGGACCUGUACUGACGCUCAUGCACGAAAGCGUGGGGAGCAAACAGGAUUAGAUACCCGGG
rnacentral:rRNA from 1 species